GUGAGUCAUCGAAUCUUUGAACGCACAUUGCGCCCAUUGGUAUUCCGAUGGGCAUGCCUGUUCGAGCGUCAUUAUCCUCCCUCAAACCUCGUGUUUGGUGUUGGACCGCGUUGGUCGAGCGACCAACUGGUCUCAAAGACAAUGACGGCGUCCGUGGGACCCUCGGUGCAACGAGCUUUUAACGAGCACGCGUCGAGUUUCAAGGACCCUCCGGGCCGGUCUAGACCUCUAUCUUCUCAGGUUGACCUCGGAUCAGGUAGGAAUACCCGCUGAACUUAAGCAUAUCAAUAAGCGGAGGA
rnacentral:misc_RNA from 1 species